CGUAACGCGUAUGCAACCUGCCUUAUACAGGAGGAUAGCCCAUGGAAACGUGGAUUAAUACUCCAUAGUAUUAUUAGUUCGCAUGGACUGAUAAUUAGAACUACGGUGGUAUAAGAUGGGCAUGCGUAAGAUUAGCUUGUUGGUGAGGUAAUGGCUCACCAAGGCAACGAUCUUUAGGGGUUCUGAGAGGAUUAUCCCCCACACUGGUACUGAGACACGGACCAG
rnacentral:rRNA from 1 species